rnacentral:rRNA from 1 species
UGAUAUGAACCGUUAUAACCGGCGAUUUCCGAAUGGGGAAACCCAGUGUGAUUCGUCACACUAUCAUUAACUGAAUCCAUAGGUUAAUGAGGCGAACCGGGGGAACUGAAACAUCUAAGUACCCCGAGGAAAAGAAAUCAACCGAGAUUCCCCCAGUAGCGGCGAGCGAACGGGGAGCAGCCCAGAGCCUGAAUCAGUGUGUGUGUUAGUGGAAGCGUCUGGAAAGGCGUGCGAUACAGGGUGACAGCCCCGUACACAAAAAUGCACAUAUUGUGAGCUCGAUGAGUAGGGCGGGACACGUGGUAUCCUGUCUGAAUAUGGGGGGACCAUCCUCCAAGGCUAAAUACUCCUGACUGACCGAUAGUGAACCAGUACCGUGAGGGAAAGGCGAAAAGAACCCCGGCGAGGGGAGUGAAAAAGAACCUGAAACCGUGUACGUACAAGCAGUGGGAGCACGCUUAGGCGUGUGACUGCGUACCUUUUGUAUAAUGGGUCAGCGACUUAUAUUCUGUAGCAAGGUUAACCGAAUAGGGGAGCCGAAGGGAAACCGAGUCUUAACUGGGCGUUAAGUUGCAGGGUAUAGACCCGAAACCCGGUGAUCUAGCCAUGGGCAGGUUGAAGGUUGGGUAACACUAACUGGAGGACCGAACCGACUAAUGUUGAAAAAUUAGCGGAUGACUUGUGGCUGGGGGUGAAAGGCCAAUCAAACCGGGAGAUAGCUGGUUCUCCCCGAAAGCUAUUUAGGUAGCGCCUCGUGAAUUCAUCUCCGGGGGUAGAGCACUGUUUCGGCAAGGGGGUCAUCCCGACUUACCAACCCGAUGCAAACUGCGAAUACCGGAGAAUGUUAUCACGGGAGACACACGGCGGGUGCUAACGUCCGUCGUGAAGAGGGAAACAACCCAGACCGCCAGCUAAGGUCCCAAAGUCAUGGUUAAGUGGGAAACGAUGUGGGAAGGCCCAGACAGCCAGGAUGUUGGCUUAGAAGCAGCCAUCAUUUAAAGAAAGCGUAAUAGCUCACUGGUCGAGUCGGCCUGCGCGGAAGAUGUAACGGGGCUAAACCAUG